rnacentral:rRNA from 1 species
AUUGAACGCUGGCGGCAGGCCUAACACAUGCAAGUCGAACGAGUGGCGGACGGGUGAGUAAUGUCUGGGAAAGUGCCCGUUGGCGGGGGAUAACCACUGGAAACGGUAGCUAACACCGCAACCUACCGGACGUGCCCAGAUGGGUUAAGCUAGUAGGUGGGGUAACGGCUCCCCUAGGCGACGAUCCCUAGCUGGUCUGAGAGGAUGACCAGCCACACUGGAACUGAGACACGGUCCAGACUCCUACGGGAGGCAGCAGUGGGGAAUAUUGCACAAUGGGCGCAAGCCUGAUGCAGCCAUGCCGCGUGUAUGAAGAAGGCCUUCGGGUUGUAAAGUACUUUCAGCGAGGAGGCGUUACUCGCAGAAGAAGCACCGGCUAACUCCGUGCCAGCCGCCGCGGUAAUAC